UGAAAGGAUAUGUGCCCAGCAAAGUCCAAUU
rnacentral:piRNA from 1 species